AUUGAACGCUGGCGGCAGGCUUAACACAUGCAAGUCGAGCGGGGUGAUGGUGCUUGCACUAUCACUUAGCGGCGGACGGGUGAGUAAUGCUUAGGAAUCUGCCUAUUAGUGGGGGACAACAUCUCGAAAGGGAUGCUAAUACCGCAUACGUCCUACGGGAGAAAGCAGGGGAUCACUUGUGACCUUGCGCUAAUAGAUGAGCCUAAGUGGGAUUAGCUAGUUGGUGGGGUAAAGGCCUACCAAGGCGACGAUCUGUAGCGGGUCUGAGAGGAUGAUCCGCCACACUGGGACUGAGACACGGCCCAGACUCCUACGGGAGGCAGCAGUGGGGAAUAUUGGACAAUGGGGGAAACCCUGAUCCAGCCAUGCCGCGUGUGUGAAGAAGGCCUUAUGGUUGUAAAGCACUUUAAGCGAGGAGGAGGCUCUUUUGGUUAAUACCCAAGAUGAGUGGACGUUACUCGCAGAAUAAGCACCGGCUAACUCUGUGCCAGCAGCCGCCGCGG
rnacentral:rRNA from 1 species